rnacentral:lncRNA from 1 species
AUGAUACAUUCAGCAGUAUGUGGUCAACACAUUCAGCAGUAUAUGGUCAACACAUUCAGCGGUAUGUGGUCAACACAUUCAGCGGUAUAUGGUCAACACAUUCAGCAGUAUAUGGUCAACACAUUCAGCGGUAUGUGGUCAACACAUUCAUCGGUAUAUGGUCAACACAUUCAGCGGUAUAUGGUCAACACAUUCAGCGGUAUAUGGUCAACACAUACAGCGGUAUAUGGUCAACACAUUCAGCGGUACAUGGUCAACACAUACAGCGGUAUAUGGUCAACACAUACAGCGGUAUAUGGUCAACACAUACAGCGGUACAUGGUCAACACAUUCAGCAGUAUAUGGUCAACACAUUCAGCAGUAUAUGGUCAACACAUACAGCAGUAUAUGGUCAACACAUUCAGCGGUACAUGGUCAACACAUACAGCGGUAUAUGGUCAACACAUUCAGCGGUACAUGGUCAACACAUACAGUGGUAUAUGGUCAACACAUUCAGCGGUACAUGGUCAACACAUUCAGCGGUAUAUGGUCAACACAUUCAGCGGUAUAUGGUCAACACAUUCAGCGGUACAUGGUCAACAUAUUCAGCGGUAUAUGGUCAACACAUACAGCGGUAUAUGGUCAACACAUACAGCAGUAUAUGGUCAACACAUUCAGAGGUACAUGGUCAACACAUUCAGCGGUACAUGGUCAACACAUUCAGCGGUAUAUGGUCAACACAUUCAGCGGUAUAUGGUCAACACAUUCAGAGGUACAUGGUCAACACAUUCAGCGGUAUAUGGUCAACAUAUUCAGCGGUAUAUGGUCAACACAUUCAGAGGUACAUGGUCAACACAUUCAGCGGUAUAUGGUCAACACAUUCAGCGGUACAUGGUCAACAUAUUCAGCGGUAUAUGGUCAACACAUUCAGCGGUACAUGGUCAACACAUUCAGCGGUAUAUGGUCAACACAUUCAGCGGUACAUGGUCAACACAUUCAGCGGUAUAUGGUCAACACAUUCAGCGGUAUAUGGUCAACACAUUCAGAGGUACAUGGUCAACACAUUCAGCGGUAUAUGGUCAACACAUUCAGCGGUAUAUGGUCAACACAUUCAGCGGUAUUUGGUCAACACAUUCAGCGGUACAUGGUCAACACAUUCAGCGGUAUAUGGUCAACAUAUUCAGCGGUACAUGGUCAACACAUUCAGCGGUACAUUGUCAACAUAUUCAGCAGUAUAUGGUCAACACAUUCAGCGGUAUUUGGUCAACACAUUCAGCGGUACAUGGUCAACACAUUCAGCGGUAUAUGGUCAACAUAUUCAGCGGGACAUGGUCAACACAUUCAGCGGUACCUUCUCAAAACCAAAAUGAACAGAAACAAAAAGCAUGCCAAUAA